AAAAAAAGAUGUUUUAAAUAACAAAACAAAGGUAACGAUUGGAUUAUUCGUCACAAGAAAUGAUUUCUUGUAACGAAAGCCGGAUAUUGUCACGCAAAACUCAAUUUCUGGUAACGAAACGAAAGAUUUGUUACGAAAAAAGAAUUUUCGUUACAAAAGGUCCAGUUUUCGGUAACAAGAGAAAAACGUAGUUACAUAAAAUAAAUAAUCGUUACCAAAAGAAUUCUUUUUCGUGACAAAAAAAUAACAUUCAUUACUAAUAAGGGGAUUUCAUCGUUCUCACAAAUACGAUAGCAAGGGGAAAACCCAAACCCAGCCAAAAAUUGCUCCCAGCCCUGACACCUUCCAUUGAUUUUUUUCGUUUCUUUGCAAUUAUUUUUCCAAAUUUUGAGAUCUCUGUCGAUUAUUUGAUUCCCCGUCUCUGUAAUUUUCGCAAUUAGGUUUCAAUUCUGUUCAAGCCAACCUCCGGCGAAUCGUCUCAAUUAGGUUUCGAUUCUGUUCAAACCAAGCUCCGGCGAAUUGUCUCCGGCCGCGAACAUCUCAAAAUCGCCUUCGAUCCGCUCCAUUACCAGAUUAGAACUGGUUUGCUCGAGACUCCUGAUUAAUUGCUUGGUGGUCACAAUUCAGUGGAAAUCAGUGAGCAUACACGACAAUUGGACCUCAAACAUCUAAAAUUUAUGUUUCCAGGAACUUGGCGGGGCAACGGCAUGUUAAAAUUUGUGUGAAUUGGUUCGUUCUUUAAUGAUUGAGAUUAUAUACAACUUCGGGCUGAGGACAAUGACUAAGUAGGGUCAUCAUCACUGAAAAAUAACAAGAGAACAUAUAUAUAAAACGGAGUUGAUGUGAAGAAAUACAAGGUGUACGAGAAGAGACGAAGGAGUUGAUUAUAAUGUUAUUGGAGUAAAUACGAUAGACAGUGCGGUAUGAAGUUUUAGAACUUAGCUUGAAUUUUGAUCAUAUUAGCCAUACACUUUGAAAUAUAUUGCUACAUGUCAUCUUAUUUUACUUUUGAAACUUAUAUAUUUUCUAUUGAAAGAUGUAUUUUUUUUUUUUGCUA